UACAGAGGUCCCAAGCGUUGUUCGGAUUCACUGGGCGUGAAGGGUGCGUAGGUGGUGAGGUAAGUCGGAUGUGAAAGCUCGGAGCUCAACUCCGAAAUGGCAUUGGAAACUACCUUGCUCGAGGGUUGGAGGGGGGACUGGAAUGCUUGGUGUAGCAGUGAAAUGCGUAGAUAUCAAGCGGAACACCAGUGGCGAAGGCGAGUCCCUGGACAACUCCUGACACUGAGGCACGAAAGCUAGGGGAGCAAACAGG
rnacentral:rRNA from 1 species